rnacentral:rRNA from 1 species
CCUACGGGAGGCAGCAGUGAGGAAUAUUGGUCAAUGGACGAGAGUCUGAACCAGCCAAGUAGCGUGAAGGAUGACUGCCCUAUGGGUUGUAAACUUCUUUUAUAUGGGAAUAAAAUGUUCCAUGUGCGGGAUUUUGUAUGUACCAUAUGAAUAAGGAUCGGCCAACUCCUUGCCAGCAGCCGCGGUAAUACGGAGGAUCCGAGCGUUAUGAGGAUGUAUUGGGGGUAAAGGGAGCGUAGGCGGAUUGUUAAGUCAGUUGUGAAAGUUGGGGGCGCAACCGUAAAACUGCAGUUGAAACUGGCUCUCUUGAGUGUUGGAGAGGUGGGUGGAAUUCGUGGUGUAGGGGUGA